rnacentral:rRNA from 1 species
AUUGAACGCUGGCGGCAUGCCUUACACAUGCAAGUCGAACGGCAGCGGGGGAGAAGCUUGCUUUUCCUGCCGGCGAGUGGCGAACGGGUGAGUAAUACAUCGGAACGUGCCCAGUAGUGGGGGAUAGCCCGGCGAAAGCCGGAUUAAUACCGCAUACGACCUAUGGGUGAAAGCGGGGGAUCGCAAGACCUCGCGCUAUUGGAGCGGCCGAUGUCAGAUUAGGUAGUUGGUGGGGUAAAGGCCUACCAAGCCGACGAUCUGUAGCUGGUCUGAGAGGACGACCAGCCACACUGGGACUGAGACACGGCCCAGACUCCUACGGGAGGCAGCAGUGGGGAAUUUUGGACAAUGGGGGAAACCCUGAUCCAGCCAUGCCGCGUGCGGGAAGAAGGCCUUCGGGUUGUAAACCGCUUUUGUCAGGGAAGAAACGCUCUGGGUUAAUACCUCGGAGUAAUGACGGUACCUGAAGAAUAAGCACCGGCUAACUACGUGCCAGCCGCCGCAGUAAUAC